rnacentral:rRNA from 1 species
GGCAGACGGGUGAGUAACACGUGGGAACGUGCCCUUCGGUUCGGAAUAACUCAGGGAAACUUGAGCUAAUACCGGAUACGCCCUUUUGGGGAAAGGUUUACUGCCGAAGGAUCGGCCCGCGUCUGAUUAGCUUGUUGGUGGGGUAACGGCCUACCAAGGCGACGAUCAGUAGCUGGUCUGAGAGGAUGAUCAGCCACACUGGGACUGAGACACGGCCCAGACUCCUACGGGAGGCAGCAGUGGGGAAUAUUGGACAAUGGGCGCAAGCCUGAUCCAGCCAUGCCGCGUGAGUGAUGAAGGCCUUAGGGUUGUAAAGCUCUUUUGUCCGGGACGAUAAUGACGGUACCGGAAGAAUAAGCCCCGGCUAACUUCGUGCCAGCAGCCGCGGUAAUACGAAGGGGGCUAGCGUUGCUCGGAAUCACUGGGCGUAAAGGGCGCGUAGGCGGCCGAUUAAGUCGGGGGUGAAAGCCUGUGGCUCAACCACAGAAUUGCCUUCGAUACUGGUUGGCUUGAGACCGGAAGAGGACAGCGGAACUGCGAGUGUAGAGGUGAAAUUCGUAGAUAUUCGCAAGAACACCAGUGGCGAAGGCGGCUGUCUGGUCCGGUUCUGACGCUGAGGCGCGAAAGCGUGG